rnacentral:rRNA from 8 species
AGCAACAAAUGCCCUGCUUCCAGGAAAAGCCUCUAAGCAUCAGGUAACAUCAAAUCGUACCCCAAACCGACACAGGUGGUCAGGUAGAGAAUACCAAGGCGCUUGAGAGAACUCGGGUGAAGGAACUAGGCAAAAUGGUGCCGUAACUUCGGGAGAAGGCACGCUGACACGUAGGUGAAGUGAUUUACUCAUGGAGCUGAAGUCAGUCGAAGAUACCAGCUGGCUGCAACUGUUUAUUAAAAACACAGCACUGUGCAAACACGAAAGUGGACGUAUACGGUGUGACGCCUGCCCGGUGCCGGAAGGUUAAUUGAUGGGGUCAGCGCAAGCGAAGCUCCUGAUCGAAGCCCCGGUAAACGGCGGCCGUAACUAUAACGGUCCUAAGGUAGCGAAAUUCCUUGUCGGGUAAGUUCCGACCUGCACGAAUGGCGUAAUGAUGGCCAGGCUGUCUCCACCCGAGACUCAGUGAAAUUGAACUCGCUGUGAAGAUGCAGUGUACCCGCGGCAAGACGGAAAGACCCCGUGAACCUUUACUAUAGCUUGACACUGAACAUUGAGCCUUGAUGUGUAGGAUAGGUGGGAGGCUUUGAAGUGUGGACGCCAGUCUGCAUGGAGCCGACCUUGAAAUACCACCCUUUAAUGUUUGAUGUUCUAACGUGGACCCGUAAUCCGGGUUGCGGACAGUGUCUGGUGGGUAGUUUGACUGGGGCGGUCUCCUCCUAAAGAGUAACGGAGGAGCACGAAGGUUGGCUAAUCCUGGUCGGACAUCAGGAGGUUAGUGCAAUGGCAUAAGCCAGCUUGACUGCGAGCGUGACGGCGCGAGCAGGUGCGAAAGCAGGUCAUAGUGAUCCGGUGGUUCUGAAUGGAAGGGCCAUCGCUCAACGGAUAAAAGGUACUCCGGGGAUAACAGGCUGAUACCGCCCAAGAGUUCAUAUCGACGGCGGUGUUUGGCACCUCGAUGUCGGCUCAUCACAUCCUGGGGCUGAAGUAGGUCCCAAGGGUAUGGCUGUUCGCCAUUUAAAGUGGUACGCGAGCUGGGUUUAGAACGUCGUGAGACAGUUCGGUCCCUAUCUGCCGUGGGCGCUGGAGAACUGAGGGGGGCUGCUCCUAGUACGAGAGGACCGGAGUGGACGCAUCACUGGUGUUCGGGUUGUCAUGCCAAUGGCACUGCCCGGUAGCUAAAUGCGGAAGAGAUAAGUGCUGAAAGCAUCUAAGCACGAAACUUGCCCCGAGAUGAGUUCUCCCUGAGACUUAGAGUCUCCUGAAGGAACGUUGAAGACGACGACGUUGAUAGGCCGGGUGUGUAAGCGCAGCGAUGCGUUGAGCUAACCGGUACUAAUGAACCGUGAGGCUUAACCUUACA